rnacentral:rRNA from 1 species
AUUGAACGCUGGCGGCAGGCCUAACACAUGCAAGUCGAACGAGUGGCGGACGGGUGAGUAAUGGAUGGGAAACUGCCUGAUGGAGGGGGAUAACUACUGGAAACGGUAGCUAAUACAGAAUACCAUAGGAUGUGCCCAGGUGGGAUUAGCUAGUAGGUGGGGUAAAGGCUCACCUAGGCGACGAUCCCUAGCUGGUCUGAGAGGAUGACCAGCCACACGGGAACUGAGCCACGGUCCAGACUCCUACGGGAGGCAGCAGUGGGGAAUAUUGCACAAGGGGCGCAAGCCUGAUGCAGCCAUGCCGAGUGUAUGAAGAAGGCCUUCGGUUUGUAAAGUACUUUCAGCUGGUAGGCGUUACCCGCAGAAGAAGCACCGGCUAACUCCGUGCCAGCCGCCGCGGUAAUAC